rnacentral:lncRNA from 1 species
UGUAAAUCAUUUUCAUAAUAUUCUCUCUUAAGGCAUUACAUGCCGUAAACUUCAUACCUGUGGUCCAUAACUGUUCCCAGUCAGCCAUCAUUAUGUUAUGUCCAACAUCUUGUGCCCAUUUAAUCAUAGCAGAUUUCACCGUUUCAUCCUGAGUAUUCCAUUUCAACAGCAAGUUAUACAUCCUUGACAAAAUCUUGGUUUUGGGUUCUAACAGUUCUGUUUCUAAUUUUGAUUUUUCCACCUGGAAGCCAAUUUUCUUGUCCAAAUU